rnacentral:rRNA from 1 species
UACAUGCAAGUCGAACGAACUCUGGUAUUGAUUGGUGCUUGCAUCAUGAUUUACAUUUGAGUGAGUGGCGAACUGGUGAGUAACACGUGGGAAACCUGCCCAGAAGCGGGGGAUAACACCUGGAAACAGAUGCUAAUACCGCAUAACAACUUGGACCGCAUGGUCCGAGUUUGAAAGAUGGCUUCGGCUAUCACUUUUGGAUGGUCCCGCGGCGUAUUAGCUAGAUGGUGAGGUAACGGCUCACCAUGGCAAUGAUACGUAGCCGACCUGAGAGGGUAAUCGGCCACAUUGGGACUGAGACACGGCCCAAACUCCUACGGGAGGCAGCAGUAGGGAAUCUUCCACAAUGGACGAAAGUCUGAUGGAGCAACGCCGCGUGAGUGAAGAAGGGUUUCGGCUCGUAAAACUCUGUUGUUAAAGAAGAACAUAUCUGAGAGUAACUGUUCAGGUAUUGACGGUAUUUAACCAGAAAGCCACGGCUAACUACGUGCCAGCAGCCGCGGUAAUACGUAGGUGGCAAGCGUUGUCCGGAUUUAUUGGGCGUAAAGCGAGCGCAGGCGGUUUUUUAAGUCUGAUGUGAAAGCCUUCGGCUCAACCGAAGAAGUGCAUCGGAAACUGGGAAACUUGAGUGCAGAAGAGGACAGUGGAACUCCAUGUGUAGCGGUGAAAUGCGUAGAUAUAUGGAAGAACACCAGUGGCGAAGGCGGCUGUCUGGUCUGUAACUGACGCUGAGGCUCGAAAGUAUGGGUAGCAAACAGGAUUAGAUACCCUGGUAGUCCAUACCGUAAACGAUGAAUGCUAAGUGUUGGAGGGUUUCCGCCCUUCAGUGCUGCAGCUAACGCAUUAAGCAUUCCGCCUGGGGAGUACGGCCGCAAGGCUGAAACUCAAAGGAAUUGACGGGGGCCCGCACAAGCGGUGGAGCAUGUGGUUUAAUUCGAAGCUACGCGAAGAACCUUACCAGGUCUUGACAUACUAUGCAAAUCUAAGAGAUUAGACGUUCCCUUCGGGGACAUGGAUACAGGUGGUGCAUGGUUGUCGUCAGCUCGUGUCGUGAGAUGUUGGGUUAAGUCCCGCAACGAGCGCAACCCUUAUUAUCAGUUGCCAGCAUUAAGUUGGGCACUCUGGUGAGACUGCCGGUGACAAACCGGAGGAAGGUGGGGAUGACGUCAAAUCAUCAUGCCCCUUAUGACCUGGGCUACACACGUGCUACAAUGGAUGGUACAACGAGUUGCGAACUCGCGAGAGUAAGCUAAUCUCUUAAAGCCAUUCUCAGUUCGGAUUGUAGGCUGCAACUCGCCUACAUGAAGUCGGAAUCGCUAGUAAUCGCGGAUCAGCAUGCCGCGGUGAAUACGUUCCCGGGCCUUGUACACACCGCCCGUCACACCAUGAGAGUUUGUAACACCCAAAGUCGGUGGGGUAACCUUUUAGGAACCA